GUUAAGUUGAAGCGGCUAGCCGAGCAGUAUUUGCUUUCAACAACAUCAUGAACAGGAGGGAAGUCUCGGGGACAUCAAGUCAAACCUUCUGAGGCCAAUCAAUUGGUAAACUGGCAUAGUCCUACUAUGAAGCUCAUCUUUUAGGAGAACAAGAUGUGAUCCAAGAUAUCAUUCUGUCUGUGUUCUACUUUUAGCGAUAGUGGGAGCUGCUGCUCUGUAAUUUGAUCAGAGAGUAGUAGGCACCGCCACAAGGAGGAACCUCUGUCUGUUGCUAUAUUAGCCAAAAGGAACAUCUGCUGCUAUCAAUGAUACAAAGUCAUAAAAUCUUCCUAGUUGAAUAAUAGCUUGUUGCCUAUCGGGUUUUUAAUCA